rnacentral:rRNA from 2 species
GUCUGACGGACACGCCGCGUGAGUGAUGAAGGCUUUCGGGUCGUAAAACUCUGUUGUUAGGGAAGAACAAGUACGAGAGUAACUGCUCGUACCUUGACGGUACCUAACCAGAAAGCCACGGCUAACUACGUGCCAGCAGCCGCGGUAAUACGUAGGUGGCAAGCGUUAUCCGGAAUUAUUGGGCGUAAAGCGCGCGCAGGCGGUUUCUUAAGUCUGAUGUGAAAGCCCACGGCUCAACCGUGGAGGGUCAUUGGAAACUGGGGAACUUGAGUGCAGAAGAGAAAAGCGGAAUUCCACGUGUAGCGGUGAAAUGCGUAGAGAUGUGGAGGAACACCAGUGGCGAAGGCGGCUUUUUGGUCUGUAACUGACGCUGAGGCGCGAAAGCGUGGGGAGCAAACAGGAUUAGAUACCCUGGUAGUCCACGCCGUAAACGAUGAGUGCUAAGUGUUAGAGGGUUUCCGCCCUUUAGUGCUGCAGCUAACGCAUAAGCACUCC